rnacentral:hammerhead_ribozyme from 1 species
AUCCAGCUGAAGAGUCCUGAAAAGGAUGAAACGCGCAUCCUGUAU